UUCCUACGGGAGGCCGCCGUGCGGCCUCUUGGUCCCUUUUCUUGCGCCUGCACCCGCCAAGCCGCGUGAGGGAGGAAGGUACAGAGUAUCGUAAACCUCUUUUGUCAGGGAACAAAGGCGGGGACGUGUCCCCGGAUGAGUGUACCUGAAGAAAAAGCAUCGGCUAACUCCGUGCCAGCAGCCGAGGUAAUACGGAGGAUGCGAGCGUUAUCCGGAUUUAUUGGGUUUAAAGGGUGCGCAGGCGGUCUGUUAAGUCAGCGGUCAAAGCCCGGGGCUCAACCCCGGGCCGCCGUUGAAACUGGCAG
rnacentral:rRNA from 1 species